GACGAACGCUGGCGGCGUGCUUAACACAUGCAAGUCGAACGGUGAAGCGCCUUCCUUUUUGGUGGGUGUGGAUGAGUGGCGAACGGGUGAGUAACACGUGAGUAACCUGCCCCCUUUUUCUGGAUAACCGCAUGAAAGUGUGGCUAAUACGGGAUAUUCUGGGUCUGUCGCAUGGUGGGUCCGGGAAAGAUUGCGCUUUUUGGGUGUUUUUGGUGGGGGAUGGGCUCGCGGCCUAUCAGCUUGUUGGUGGGGUGAUGGCCUACCAAGGCGGUGACGGGUAGCCGGCCUGAGAGGGUGGACGGUCACACUGGGACUGAGACACGGCCCAGACUCCUACGGGAGGCAGCAGUGGGGAAUAUUGCACAAUGGGCGCAAGCCUGAUGCAGCGACGCCGCGUGAGGGAUGGAGGCCUUCGGGUUGUGAACCUCUUUCGCCAGUGAAGCAGGCCUGCCUCGUUUGUGGGUGGGUUGACGGUAGCUGGAUAAGAAGCGCCGGCUAACUACGUGCCAGCAGCCGCGGUAAUACGUAGGGCGCGAGCGUUGUCCGGAAUUAUUGGGCGUAAAGAGCUCGUAGGCGGCUGGUCGCGUCUGUCGUGAAAUCCUCUGGCUUAACUGGGGGCUUGCGGUGGGUACGGGCCGGCUUGAGUGCGGUAGGGGAGGCUGGAACUCCUGGUGUAGCGGUGGAAUGCGCAGAUAUCAGGAAGAACACCGGUGGCGAAGGCGGGUCUCUGGGCCGUUACUGACGCUGAGGAGCGAAAGCGUGGGGGGCGAACAGG
rnacentral:rRNA from 1 species